rnacentral:lncRNA from 1 species
GAAUAGAUUCUACUUAUGAAACUACUGACCUGAGAAAGAUUAUUGAACAGCAGAUGUUUCAGAAGACUUUAAUCUCCUGCCUUAAAAGUUCACAGAGGUUCUGCAGUCCAACUUUUCAAGUUUCUUUCCAGACCUAGUGAAAACUUGUGUGCCUCAGGUGAACUGGUAAACAUUUCCAGAGUUCGUAAGGAAUGUUUGCCGUACCCUCCUCCCCUCCAGCUGUAUCUGUGCUACGCAUGCUCAACAGGAGUAUCAAGAGAUUGUGACUAGAAGCAUCAUAUUGCAGGGACUCCGAAUUACAGGAGGGAUGCAGAAACAUCUUGGAGUGCAGAGAUUUGAUUUCAAAUUUUUUCUAGCCUAUAGACAAUGGCUAAAUACAACAAUUCCCCCUGUGGAUCACCUUAUCUUACUGGCAUGGGUUGAAGUUUCAGAAGAAUGGUGGAAGAGGGAGCAAGGAAAAUAUUAUCAAACCAACUUUUUGAAUAAAACGUUUCUUGUCAGUGGAACUCUGCAAAUAUGUUAUUUCAGCUACCAUGCUGCUGACUCAGAGCUCUGGCCCUUCAAAGAACAGUGA